UCUCUGCGAGCAGUCCUAUUGCUUGAGCGGUCUAAUUUUGGAGGAAGGCCAUACUCCGUGUGAGAGUGACAGAAUCUGGCUUUUAGUCUUCCCCACUUCAGUUCUUUUCCCCAUAAAACCGAUGUUAUCCAAUAGUCAAAAUCAUUCCCCAUUGAGUCGAAGAGCUUCUGCAAGUUCCAGAUAUAUGGACACCCGUUCACUGGUUGUUAUACUGGUACCAAGGAUUUUUUUACUUUCACCUUUCUUCAUAUAAGAUCUGAUGAAAAUUCACUUGCUCUGCUUGGGUCUCUGGCAGUUAAAGGAGCAUCAACCAGAGAAGCCCAGCUGUGUGAUGCAGGGAAAUAGCAUUCUGACUCCCGGAGUAAGAAUCACCAGAAUAUUACUGUACUUCUCUCCCAGCAACCAGAAUGGGAGAGACGCUAAAGGAGAGAAGAAACAACCUUCUGUUUUUUCCUCCAGAUGAGAAGAUUGGAAAUACAAUGUUUAAGGAGUAGGAGAGAACCACAAAAUAGUUCUGGUAUGAUGUCUUGACAUUGUUAUGACGUUUGCCUUAUGCUUUUACAUUAUUAUUAUUUUUACUUUAAAACAUUCAUCAGUGUAGUGUCUUGGCAUCAAUUAAAUCAAUUUAGAAAUGAUAAAUCCCUUGACAGGGGAACUCUCUAACUAUUGCUAACACAAAUAUAAGCCCCAUUCUUUGGAGGAAAAUACAAGUAUGUUGAGUCUCAGUGACAACAUAUAGGUGCAAAAUCUCAUUUCAGCUUUACAGUGUGAAAUAAAGAUAUCCCACCGGGAUUAUAUGGUGGUGUCACAACUUUGAUUUCAACAAUGAAGUAGCUCUACAGUUCUGUUCUCCAGUACUGCUUUCGAAUAACUUUAAAUAAAGGGGCAUUUUACCAGAUAAUUUAAUUAAAGGAUGAUGUAGUUCCGGCCAGGCUAGUAAUGGCUCCCACAGAGAUCACCUUAUUCAAUGCAGACACUCAAUGCCACAAAUGUCUUAUAUAGCCAUUGGCAGUCAUUUACAUUUUCUGCUCUUUCAUUACAACCUCUGGAGACUGGAUCUGUGCCCAUAAGGCCAAGGGAAUAUUUAGUUGGAAAUGCAACAGGAGUAGUAUUUUCAUCAGAUCCUAGCAUUUUUUCCCCACUUUUGAGAAAUAGUAAUGGCUGGUUUAAUCCCAAUAAUGAACAUAUUCCUAAUGAUCAUAUUUUCUUCUCUCUCAGUUUCAUUAUCAUAAACCAAAUAAUGACAAUUUCCUAAACAUUUUACUACUCCUACCCUUGAAAACUGCCACUUGCAUGAGCCAGUGUCAAAAUCCACCUAUGUUUCAAAUUUUGUGGUGUAAUGUAAUUUUAUUGGACAAACUGAGGGACACAAAGAAACAGAAUACGUCAAAAGGUACUAAGAGACAAGGUGGGUGAGGUAAUAUCUUUUAUUGAACCAACUUCUGUUGGUGGGAUUGUCCCAGACCUGAAGAAGACUGCUAUGUAAGUUCAAAAGCUUGUCUCUCUCUCCAACAGAAGUUGGGCUAAUAAAAGAUAUAGCCUCACCCAUCUUUUCUCUCUAAUAUCCUGGGACCAACAUGGCUACAACAACACUGCAUACAUCAAAAGGUAACAAGGAGUCUGGCGGCACCUUAAAGACUAACAGAUUUAUUUGGGCAUAAGCUUUCGUGGAUAAAAACCUCACUUCUUCAGAUGCAUAGAGUGAAAGUUACAGAUGCAGGCAUUAUAUACACUGACACAUGGAGAGCAGGGAGUUACUUCGCAAGUGGAGAACCAGUGUUGACAGGGCCAAUUCAAUCAGGGUGGAUGUAGUCCACUCCCAGUAAUAGUUGAGGAGGUGUCAAUUCCAGGAGAGGAAAAGCUGCUUCUGUAAUGAGCCAGCCACUCCCAGUCCCUAUUCAAGCCCAGAUUAAUGGUGUUAAAUUUGCAAAUGAAUUUUAGUUCUGCUGUUUCUCUUUGAAGUCUGUUUCUGAAGUUUUUUUGUUCAAUGAUAGUGACUUUUAAAUCUGUAAUAGAAUGACCAGGGAGAUUGAAGUGUUCACUUACUGGCUUUUGUAUGUUACCAUUCCUAAUGUCCGAUUUGUGUCCAUUUAUUCUUUUGCGGAGGGAUUGUCCGGUUUGGCCAAUGUACAUGGCAGAGAGGCAUGUACAUGCAUGAAAGCUUAUGCCCAAAUAAAUCUGUUAGUCUUUAAGGUG